CGGGGGAGGCCGGAUCCUGGGCUGUGUCCCCAGUGCCCUGUGCUCCGGGGCCGGUGCUGUUGGAAUCGCGCUCCCCGCGGCACAGCCCCCU
rnacentral:pre_miRNA from 1 species